rnacentral:rRNA from 1 species
UACGUAGGGUGCAAGCGUUAAUCGGAAUUACUGGGCGUAAAGCGCGUGUAGGCGGCUACUUAAGUUGGAUGUGAAAUCCUCGGGCUUAACCUGAGAACUGCAUUCAAUACUGGGUAGCUAGAGUUUGAGAGAGGUGGGUGGAAUUUCCGGUGUAGCAGUGAAAUGCGUAGAGAUCGGAAGGAACACCAGUGGCGAAGGCGGCCCACUGGCUCAAAACUGACGCUGAGACGCGAAAGCGUGGGGAGCAAACAGG